rnacentral:rRNA from 1 species
GACGAACGCUGGCGGCGUGCUUAACACAUGCAAGUCGAACGGACAGGCCCUGCUUUUGUGGUGCUGACGUGGGGAGCGGGCGUGUGACACACGCGUGGAACGCCCCCCUAUUAGGGUUAGAACCGCUAGAAAAGGCGUAUCAUAUACGAGAUGCUAUAUUUAAGCGGAUGGUUGGACAGUUAUAUAGGUUGAGGAUGGGAGCGCGGGCUAUCUGCUUGUUGGUUGGGUAAUGGCCUACCAAGGCGGCGACGGGUAGCCGGCCUGAGAGGGGGGACGGCCACACUGGGACUGAGACACGGCCCAGACUCCUACGGGAGGCAGCAGUGGGGAAUAUUGCACAAUGGGCGCAAGCCUGAUGCAGCGACGCCGCGUGAGGGAUGACGGCCUUCGGGUUGUAAACAUCUUUCGGCAGGGACGAAGCGAUUGUGACGGUACCUACAGAAGAAGCACCGGCUAACUACGUG